UUCAUUCUGCAAAUUGGACAUCACAGCUCCACAAAUUUUUCCUGUCAAGUUUUAGGAUAACAUUUGCAGUAAGUUUUACGCUAUAAGCGUAAUAAAAUUAGAUAUAAAAAGUAAAAACUUUUCGUCAUGAUCGAGACCGCGAAUAACCAAAUUCCUCUUCCAAAAAUGAUUCUGGUUUUCAGCCAAGCCGAGCAGGAAGACAUGCAUGAGUUGAAUAUUUUUGAAGUCAUAAACACUCCUGAACAUCGGUGCACCACUUUGGUUACUGAAGAAGAAAGGAAUGAAUUCGAUUCUAUCUCCGAAUUGGAUGAUGAUAUUGUGUACUUCUUUACUAAUCGUCACUUGAGCAUCCAAGAUGUUUUCAAUAUUGCAAACACGUUGUUCAAUACAUAUCUCCACUGAAUGGAGAUCUACUAUGCAAGAAAUCAACUUGAUUUAUUAAGUAUACGCCAUGAAUAAGAACACGCCUUGCAAGAUCUCUUAAAUCUACAAUAGUAAUUUCAACCCAAAAUGUUGAAUACAAAAACUUUGGAGCUACCUAAGGCUGCCAAUUAAAAAAUAUUUAAUAUAAAAUGUUACAAACAUUAAUUCAUAUCAAAUAAAUAAAAU